rnacentral:rRNA from 1 species
AUUGAACGCUGGCGGCAUGCCUUACACAUGCAAGUCGAACGGCAGCACGGGGGCAACCCUGGUGGCGAGUGGCGAACGGGUGAGUAAUAUAUCGGAACGUACCCUGGAGUGGGGGAUAACGUAGCGAAAGUUACGCUAAUACCGCAUACGAUCUAAGGAUGAAAGUGGGGGAUCGCAAGACCUCAUGCUCCUGGAGCGGCCGAUAUCUGAUUAGCUAGUUGGUGGGUAAAGGCCUACCAAGGCAUCGAUCAGUAGCUGGUCUGAGAGGACGACCAGCCACACUGGGACUGAGACACGGCCCAGACUCCUACGGGAGGCAGCAGUGGGGAAUUUUGGACAAUGGGGGCAACCCUGAUCCAGCAAUGCCGCGUGAGUGAAGAAGGCC